GAUCGCCCAGGCCCCUCUUAAACUGGGUGUCUCCCUGUCUCUCUCCCCUUUCUGCCUCCGCGCGCGACUCGGCUGACAAGAUGCUGACAAGCUUAAGGGCUGGUGCUUGAAAGAAGCUUUUCCAGGAGAAGGUGUAUUUGAACAUGAGAUGAUUGAUAUACAGAAUAGAGCUUUUUGCUAAUUGUCUUUUCAUGGUGGUAGCAGGGGUGAAUUUAAAAAAAAAAAAAACUGCCAAGUAUCUGUAAGAAUAUAUAUCUACCCUGUAGAGAAUUUUCAGCAGAAUUCAAUUCCAUUAUUUAAAACAGUUUUUUAAAAUAAGAUCCAGCCUGAAUCUUGACACAGUAGCUAGACUAGCUAUUCUACAACUAUCUUAAGAGAAUUUGGCUAGCUGCUUUAAUUUACAAAGGUUAUUUUUAAAUCCCAUUCUUUUGACUAUGCUAAACCUCGGGGUUUUGUGCUUGCAGUUUUGUCUAAUCAUUCUGAUGAUUAAAUUUGACCCCUUGUAUAGAGGACAGAUCAGUGGAGUUUGUUGCAUAGCAUUUUGAGGGUUGGGGCUGAGGAACUGUUCUAUACUUUGAUUAUAGUGGUAAUUCCAUUUGUCAGAAAUUUUGAGUGAGUUUUACUGAAUGUAAAUUCAAUUUCAAUAAAUAUGACUUAAAAACUUUC